UGGGGAAUAUUGGACAAUGGGCGCAAGCCUGAUCCAGCCAUGCCGCGUGAGUGAUGAAGGCCUUAGGGUUGUAAAGCUCUUUCGCCGGUGAAGAUAAUGACGGUAACCGGAGAAGAAGCCCCGGCUAACUUCGUG
rnacentral:rRNA from 1 species